GCCCGCUCAGAAACUCAAAUGAAUUGACGGGGGCCCGCACAAGCGGUGGAGCAUGUGGUUUAAUUCGAUGAUACGCGAGGAACCUUACCUGGGCUCAAAUGUAUGUUGACGUAUUCUGAAAGGGAUACUUCUUCGGACAAUAUACAAGGUGCUGCAUGGUUGUCGUCAGCUCGUGCCGUGAGGUGUCGGGUUAAGUCCCAUAACGAGCGCAACCCCUAUCAUUAGUUGCCAUCAGGUCAAGCUGGGGACUCUAAUGAAACUGCCUACGCAAGUAGUGAGGAAGGUGGGGAUGACGUCAAAUCAGCACGGCCCUUACGUCCAGGGCUACACACGUGCUACAAUGGCCGAUACAGAGGGCAGCUACCUGGUGACAGGAUGCAAAUCUCCAAAGUCGGUCUCAGUUCGGAUCGGAGUCUGCAACCCGACUCCGUGAAGUUGGAUUCGCUAGUAAUCGUGGAUCAGCAUGCCACGGUGAAUACGUUCCCGGGCCUU
rnacentral:rRNA from 1 species